CACCUGACAUCUUAUCAGCAAGGGGAAACCAGAUGUGACAGCGGUACGCACCGUUGUACUCCGAGGCCUCCCUGUUCUACUUGGUUAUGACCCCAGUGACUUCUACAACACCUGCUUCGAUUGUGACACUGAUGAGACCUGGGUAAAAGUAUCUGUCGG